ensembl:lncRNA
UUACUCAGGAACAGGUUAAUGUUAGUGGAUUACUCAGGAACAGGUUAAUGUUAAAGUGGAUUACUCAGGAACAGGUUAAUGUUAAAGUGGAUUACUCAGGAACAGGUUAAUGUUAGUGGAUUACUCAGGAACAGGUUAAUGUUAGUCUAUUACUCAGGAACAGGUUAAUGUUAGUGGAUUACUCAGGAACAGGUUAAUGUUAAAGUGGAUUACUCAGGAACAGGUUAAUGUUAGUAUUUCUCAGGAACAGGUUAAUGUUAGUAUUUCUCAGGAACAGGUUAAUGUUAGUAUUACUCAGGAACAGGUUAAUGUUAGUGGAUUACUCAGGAACAGGUUAAUGUUAAAGUGGAUUACUCAGGAACAGGUUAAUGUUAGUGGAUUAC